rnacentral:lncRNA from 1 species
CUCACUGGUUCCAUGGUUCUGAGGAUGAGAAGGAUGAAGAGCUCAGCAACCCUCCGAAUCUUGGCAGCAGAGCUCUGUGCGGGGAAACGCUGCGGAGACAUUGGGCUACAUCUGAAUAACGCAGUUCCACUGACAGCAUUCGAGGAACACCAGGAGAAGAGAGAGCCUAAGUUUGUCAAACGUAUUGUUUGUGGUGAAUUAUCCACAGCACCUGCUGUACUUUGCGUGCUGCCAAAGCUGGCCUUGGAAAGCGGCUAA